GUUGAACGCUGGCGGCAUGCCUUACACAUGCAAGUCGAACGGUAACAGGUCUUCGGAUGCUGACGAGUGGCGAACGGGUGAGUAAUACAUCGGAACGUGCCCGAGAGUGGGGGAUAACGAGGCGAAAGCUUUGCUAAUACCGCAUACGAUCUCAGGAUGAAAGCAGGGGACCGCAAGGCCUUGCGCUCACGGAGCGGCCGAUGGCAGAUUAGGUAGUUGGUGGGAUAAAAGCUUACCAAGCCGACGAUCUGUAGCUGGCCUGAGAGGACGACCAGCCACACUGGGACUGAGACACGGCCCAGACUCCUACGGGAGGCAGCAGUGGGGAAUUUUGGACAAUGGGCGUAAGCCUGAUCCAGCCAUGCCGCGUGCAGGAUGAAGGCCUUCGGGUUGUAAACUGCUUUUGUACGGAACGAAAAGACUCUGGUUAAUACCUGGGGUCCAUGACGGUACCGUAAGAAUAAGCACCGGCUAACUACGUGCCAGCAGCCGCGGUAACAC
rnacentral:rRNA from 1 species